ACGAUUCAGGAAAUAUUGCAUGGGAUAUUGGAAAAAUGUCUGCGGAGCUGAGCUGGCAUGUGAUCCAAUGCAUACAUAGUCUUGCAUCUAUGUAGGUUCUUUCACAGUCCUACUAGAUUUCCUGGGCUGGUUGUCUAAAUGUGAAGGAAAAACUACUGAUGGGAAUGUGUCUCCUAUCUGUUAUGACUGCUGUAGAUCUUCAAGAACGGGUGGUGGCAGCAAGGAUGGUGAGUCUACAACAGGUACUGAUUCAUGUUGUGAGGUAUCUGCAGAAGAGGGAGUUACAACUUUAUGUGGAGGAAUUGCAGUGGAAGAUGAAGGAGAGUAUCACAUAUGCACAGCCCAAUGGCCCUGCCUCCAAAUUUAUCUCCCCCUACUAGGACUUUGGCAAAGCACAGACAUCCUAUGAUCCUCAUAUGUUGUAAAAAAGGUGCUCUUCCUUACAUCAUCUGGAAUGAAGGCUUCCCUGAUAAUACUGACAGGGAAAGUCUGUUAAUGAUAUAAGCUGCUGCUUGCAUACAUUCUCCCA
rnacentral:lncRNA from 1 species